rnacentral:rRNA from 1 species
UACGUAGGGUGCGAGCGUUAAUCGGAAUUACUGGGCGUAAAGCGUGCGCAGGCGGUUUUGUAAGCCAGAUGUGAAAUCCCCGGGCUUAACCUGGGAAUGGCAUUUGGGACUGCAAGGCUUGAGUGCGGCAGAGGAGACUGGAAUUCCUGGUGUAGCAGUGAAAUGCGUAGAUAUCAGGAGGGACACCGAUGGCGAAGGCAGGUCUCUGGGCUGACACUGACGCUCAUGCACGAAAGCGUGGGGAGCAAACAGG